CCUACGGGAGGCAGCAGUGAGGAAUAUUGGUCAAUGGACGAGAGUCUGAACCAGCCAAGUAGCGUGAAGGAUGACUGCCCUAUGGGUUGUAAACUUCUUUUAUAUGGGAAUAAAAUGUUCCACGUGUGGGAUUUUGUAUGUACCAUAUGAAUAAGGAUCGGCUAACUCCGUGCCAGCAGCCGCGGUAUACGGAGGAUCCGAGCGUUAUCCGGAUUUAUUGGGGUUUAAGGGAGCGUAGGUGGAUUGUUAAGUCAGUUGUGAAAGUUUGCGGCUCAACCGUAAAAUUGCAGUUGAAACUGGCAGUCUUGAGUACAGUAGAGGUGGGCGGAAUUCGUGGUGUAGCGGUGAAAUGCUUAGAUAUCACGAAGAACUCCGAUUGCGAAGGCAGCUCACUGGACUGCAACUGGCACUGAGGCUCGAAAGUGUGGGUAUCAAACAGGAUUAGAUACCCGAGUAGUC
rnacentral:rRNA from 1 species